rnacentral:rRNA from 1 species
CAGUCGCCGCGGGAACACGAAGGGUGCAAGCGUUACUCGGAAUUACUGGGCGUAAAGCGUGCGUAGGUGGUGGUUUAAGUCCGUUGUGAAAGCCCUGGGCUCAACCUGGGAAUUGCAGUGGAUACUGGGUCACUAGAGUGUGGUAGAGGAUAGUGGAAUUUCCGGUGUAGCAGUGAAAUGCGUAGAGAUCGGAAGGAACAUCUGUGGCGAAGGCGACUAUCUGGGCCAACACUGACACUGAGGCACGAAAGCGUGGGGAGCAAACAGGAUUAGAUACCCCCGUAGUCCCUGUCUCUUAUAC